rnacentral:misc_RNA from 1 species
UACGGAGGGUGCAAGCGUUAAUCGGAAUUACUGGGCGUAAAGCGCAUGCAGGCGGUUUGACAAGUCGGAUGUGAAAUCUCCGGGCUUAACCUGGGAACUGCAUCAGAAACUGGCAGGCUAGAGUCUUGUAGAGGGGGGUAGAAUUCCAGGUGUAGCGGUGAAAUGCGUAGAGAUCUGGAGGAAUACCUGUGGCGAAGGCGGCCCCCUGGACAAAGACUGACGCUCAGGUGCGAAAGCGUGGGUAGCAAACAGG